GUUAAUGAGGCGAACCGGGGGAACUGAAACAUCUAAGUACCCCGAGGAAAAGAAAUCAACCGAGAUUCCCCCAGUAGCGGCGAGCGAACGGGGAGCAGCCCAGAGCCUGAAUCAGUAUGUGUGUUAGUGGAAGCGUCUGGAAAGGCGCGCGAUACAGGGUGACAGCCCCGUACACAAAAAUGCACAUGCUGUGAGCUCGAUGAGUAGGGCGGGACACGUGGUAUCCUGUCUGAAUAUGGGGGGACCAUCCUCCAAGGCUAAAUACUCCUGACUGACCGAUAGUGAACCAGUACCGUGAGGGAAAGGCGAAAAGAACCCCGGCGAGGGGAGUGAAAAAGAACCUGAAACCGUGUACGUACAAGCAGUGGGAGCACGCUUAGGCGUGUGACUGCGUACCUUUUGUAUAAUGGGUCAGCGACUUAUAUUCUGUAGCAAGGUUAACCGAAUAGGGGAGCCGAAGGGAAACCGAGUCUUAACUGGGCGUUAAGUUGCAGGGUAUAGACCCGAAACCCGGUGAUCUAGCCAUGGGCAGGUUGAAGGUUGGGUAACACUAACUGGAGGACCGAACCGACUAAUGUUGAAAAAUUAGCGGAUGACUUGUGGCUGGGGGUGAAAGGCCAAUCAAACCGGGAGAUAGCUGGUUCUCCCCGAAAGCUAUUUAGGUAGCGCCUCGUGAAUUCAUCUCCGGGGGUAGAGCACUGUUUCGGCAAGGGGGUCAUCCCGACUUACCAACCCGAUGCAAACUGCGAAUACCGGAGAAUGUUAUCACGGGAGACACACGGCGGGUGCUAACGUCCGUCGUGAAGAGGGAAACAACCCAGACCGCCAGCUAAGGUCCCAAAGUCAUGGUUAAGUGGGAAACGAUGUGGGAAGGCCCAGACAGCCAGGAUGUUGGCUUAGAAGCAGCCAUCAUUUAAAGAAAGCGUAAUAGCUCACUGGUCGAGUCGGCCUGCGCGGAAGAUGUAACGGGGCUAAACCAUGCACCGAAGCUGCGGCAGCGACGCUGAUGCGUUGUUGGGUAGGGGAGCGUUCUGUAAGCCUGCGAAGGUGUGCUGUGAGGCAUGCUGGAGGUAUCAGAAGUGCGAAUGCUGACAUAAGUAACGAUAAAGCGGGUGAAAAGCCCGCUCGCCGGAAGACCAAGGGUUCCUGUCCAACGUUAAUCGGGGCAGGGUGAGUCGACCCCUAAGGCGAGGCCGAAAGGCGUAGUCGAUGGGAAACAGGUUAAUAUUCCUGUACUUGGUGUUACUGCGAAGGGGGGACGGAGAAGGCUAUGUUGGCCGGGCGACGGUUGUCCCGGUUUAAGCGUGUAGGCUGGUUUUCCAGGCAAAUCCGGAAAAUCAAGGCUGAGGCGUGAUG
rnacentral:rRNA from 1 species